UUGAAGUGCAAGUUGACCAAAU
rnacentral:siRNA from 1 species